AGAUUUAUAGCAACGUUUCGACCUGUUAAGGUCUUUAUCAACUUGAUAAAGACCUUAACAGGUUGAAACGUUGUCAUAAAUCUG